rnacentral:tRNA from 1 species
CCUCUCGUGGCGUAGGGGUAACGCGCCCUAUUUAGAGAACAAGGAGACGUGAGUUUGAUUCUUACCGAGAAGA